GUUUCAUUAAACCAGAAGUCGUGUUGGGCUUUGUGUGUUUUGUGUAUUGUGAUAUAUUUGGUCAGGGGCUUUCCGUGUGUAUUGCCUAAUGGACUCAAGCUUUUGUCACUUUCUCCUCUCCUCUAACCCUAACUGCACGUUUUUUUUUCUUCACUUUGACUCUACGGCGGCGUCGUCUGAGCUCCCUCUCCAUUCCUGAAACGUCCGACGUUGAAACUUCAUGUUUAAUCCAAUUGAUUCCACCGUCCACUACGAUGUAUUCAAUGCGCAUGUCGUUGCUCCUAAGCCAUGUGUAAUCUUUUGCUAUAAAUAUGGAGUUCUCCUCAUCUCGAAUUCAUCAUAUCUUUCUAUGUCUUUUGCUAAAUAAAAUCGUGUUCUUAUGGCUAAUACAAGAUUUUUUUUCUCAGAUUUGAGGUCCGGCCUAUGCACCUCCGUCGUCGAGGCGAGAAACAUCAAGUGGGUGGAAAUGCUACUGGUUGACGUAAAUGCCACUAUAAUGCAAGUGACCAUCUACGUUAACCGGCUUCCAACAUUCCAGCGUAAACUUGCCGCCGGGACGAUGUAAACCAUCUCCUGAAGAAGGCUUCCGGUUCUAUAAUCAAACAGAGCUGGUUGGAUUGGCUAACACAAAUACACAGGUUCCGGACAUCAUUGGUGAGAUCACUGCGGUUAAGAGUAUUGUGACAGAGCCGCCGAAGAUAAUAACCGCGUUAUGGUGACGAUCAAACUGGAAGGGUAUUUAUUAUCUAUUAGUUUUUUUUGAUUAUGGUUAUCUCGCACUUUUUGAUCUUCUGCUUGCUGAUGCAAAAUGUGCAGUGAUGUGGCUGUUACACUUAGCCUGUUUGACGCUCAGGCAGUUUCCUUUCACAAAAAACUGGAAGACAUGACUCAUGAUCCAAAGGUGAUUGUUGCCACUAGCAUAAAUCCAAAGAUGGUUGGAGGUCAUUUGUUCCUCAAUGCAACAUCAGGAACCCAUGUUUAUUUUGACAAAGAAACGAAUGCAGGAGA